rnacentral:rRNA from 1 species
AAGCCAGACUCCUACGGGAGGCAGCAGUGGGGAAUAUUGCACAAUGGGGGAAACCCUGAUGCAGCGACGCCGCGUGGGCGACGAAGCGCUCCGGCGCGUAAAGCCCUGUCAGCAGGGAAGAACAAAGACAGUACCUGACCAAGAAGCCCCGGCUAACUACGUGCCAGCAGCCGCGGUAAUACGUAGGGGGCAAGCGCUAUCCGGAUUCACUGGGCGUAAAGGGAGCGCAGGCGGCACGGCAAGUCUGGUGUGAAAGCCCGGGGCCCAACCCCGGAACUGCAUUGGAAACUGUAUUUCUAGAGUGUCGGAGAGGCAAGUGGAAUUCCUGGUGUAGCGGUGAAAUGCGUAGAUAUCAGGAGGAACACCAGUGGCGAAGGCGGCUUGCUGGACGAUGACUGACGUUGAGGCUCGAAAGCGUGGGGAGCAAACAGGAUUAGAUACCCCGGUAU